rnacentral:lncRNA from 1 species
GGCCAAAAAAAAAAAAUAGGUGUGUUUCCGGUCGCCCGACCGACCCUAAUUUUUUGGCGCCGACCCUAACUUUUUUUUCCCGGAAAAAAAAAAAAAAAAAAAAAAAUCCGGAUUUUUUUCGUUUUUUUUCCGGAAACGGUUUUUGUUUAGUAUAGCCUUUGAAUGGCAUCUUUUAAACGUUUGAUUUCAAAUAAAAUUUUAAUACAGUAAGCAUUUGUGUGAUACAGAUUGAAGUCAAACAACGGCAUGGCUUCUGCUAUGGCCAUCAGUCAAAGUGUGUUAUCAAUAACAAUCGAUGAGUGUCCACACAGGAACGAGAAAAAAAGUAUAAUAGCCCCAUUUUCUAAUUCUACCACCUUUAUUGAUAUAUUCAAUCAGUAUCAUGACUUUGGAUUAAAGAACAAUGAAUUUACUGUGACUGGAAAAAAUGGAUGCAAUAUUUGCCUCACAUUAUUUGAAUGUUUCGGUUGUUUCGAUGUUUAUAAUUUGUUCAGAAUUUUAUAGGAAUAAAAUUGACAGUAUAACAAGUUUACAAUGUUUUGGCAUUUACUUCUGACAGUCUUUUCUAAUACAAGAGGGAAGCCAAACGUUCAAUUUAGGAUUAAAUUUAAUUUUAAUAUCUGAUAUUUGCUCAACCAUAGCCCCAAAACUCAAUUUGUAAUUGAUUUUCUUUUAAACAGCUAGUAUAUAAUCAAAAUUUCAAAGAUUUUCACCCAUCCCUCUAUCAUGUUAUUAAUAUUUGGUAUUUGUAGAAAAGCUGGCAUCAGUUCUGUGAACUAAAUUGUCUGAAAGAAACUGAUUAUAAAACAGGUCUUUGCUGAGACAGACUUUGAUGGGCUUUCUGUGUAAGACUAUAGCCUGACCCGUACAGAUGGCAUAUCAGUUCUGAAAAGUUUGAAAAUUUUAUAAGCUGGAAGUCCUGGCCAAGUCUUCUGCAACUUUUGAACAUGGACUAUUCAUAUCUUGUAUACUUUAUACAAUGAACUGAUGAAAAUAACCUGAAAGAAUAACAAACUGAUUAUAAAAAUACACAACAAACAACCGAAGCAGGCCAGUAAAAAAAAAAAAAAAAAAAAAAAAAAAAAAAAAAAAAAAAUACCUACCUACCGACCCGAAUUUUUUGGGGCAUGCAACAGGAAACACACCUAUUUUUUUUUUUGGCCUA